rnacentral:rRNA from 1 species
AUCAACGCUGGCGGCGUGCCUAACACAUGCAAGUCGAACGAGAGAAAGGGGAGCAAUCCCUGAGUACAGUGGCGUACGGGUGAGUAACACGUGGAUGAUCUACCUCAUAGUGGGGAAAUACCCCCGGGAGAAACUGGGGACAUACCGCAUGAGCCCCUUCGUUAAACAGAAGACGGGAAAGCAGCAAUGCGCUGUGAGAUGGAGUCCGCGACUGAUUAUGCUAGUUGGUGGGGUAAUGGCUCACCAAGGCGAAGAUCGGUAGCCGGCCUGAGAGGGCACACGGACCACACUGGCACUGAACACGGCCAGACUCCUACGGGAGGCAGCAAAGUGGGGAAUCUUUGCACAAUGGAGGCAACUCUGAUGCAGCGACGCCGCUGUGAGCGAUGAAGCCCUUCGGGGUGUAAAGCUCUUUCGACAGGAACGAUAAUGACGGUACCUGAAGAAGAAGCUGCGGCUAACUACGUGCCAGCAGCCGCGGUAAUAUACGUAGGCAGCAGGCGUUGUUCGGAAUUACUGGGCGUAAAAAGAGUGUGUAGGCCGUGCUCUAAGUUCGGUGUGUGAAAUCUCCCGGCGUAACUGGGAGGGUGUCGCCGGAAACUGGAGUGCUCGAGUAUGGGAGGGAGGGUAAGGUAAGGAAUUCCGGUGUAGCGGUGAAAUGCGUAGAUAUCGGGAGGAACACCCGUGGUGUAGACAGCUUACUGGACCAUCACUGACGCUGAGACACGAAAGCGUGGGUAGCAAACAGGAUUAGAUACCCUGGUAGUCCACGCCCUAAACGAUGCAUACUGGGUGGUGGAGCCAUUCAUUGGUUCGCUGCCGGAGCUAACGCGUUAAGUAUGCCGCCUGGGGAGUACGGUCGCAAGGCUGAAACUCAAAGGAAUUGACGGGGGCCCGCACAAGCGGUGGAGCAUGUGGUUCAAUUCGACGCAACGCGAAGAACCUUACCUGGGCUCGAACGGCUCACGCACGCCGGUGGAAACGCCGGUUUCCCGCAAGGGACGGGAGUCGAGGUGCUGCAUGGCUGUCGUCAGCUCGUGUCGUGAGAUGUUGGGUUAAGUCCCCGCAACGAGCGGCAACCCUUGUCCUGUGUUUGCCACUCCCCGCAAGGGGAAGCACUCUCAGGGAGACCGCCAGCGAUAAGUUGGAGGAAGGUGGGGAUGAUGGUCAAGUCAUCAUGGCCUUUAUGUCCAGGGCUACACACGUGCUAACAAUGGCCGGUACAAAGCGGCUGCAAACUCGCAAGAGGGAGCUAAUCGCAAAAAACCGGUCUCAGUUCGGAUCGCAGGCUGCAACUCGGCCUGCGUGAAGCUGGAAUCGCUAGUAAAUGGCGUAUCAGAAUGAUGCCGGUGAAUACGUUCCCGGGCCUUGUACACACCGCCCGUCACAUCACGAAGUGGAUUGUACUAGAAGUUCCCUAAUCAGCGGGGGCCCCAAGGUAUGAUUCAUGAUUGGGGUG